rnacentral:tRNA from 1 species
UGGGAGGUCGUCUAAUGGUAGGACUGCGGACUCUGGAUCCGCCUAUCGGGGUUCGAAUCCCUGCCUCCCAGCCA